UAUAUUUUAGUAUAGGGUGUGCGUAAGUUUUUGAUACUUAAGGAAAUAGUUUAAUUCUAUUAAAUAUAA
rnacentral:tRNA from 1 species